AGUGUCCUGGUUCCUGCAGCGGCAGCAACAGCAGGUCCUACUAUCGCCUCCCUCUAGUCUCUGCUUCUCUGGAUCCCUGAGGAGGGCAGAAGGAAGAAAACAGCCCAAAGAUGAGAGUGAUUCGCGUGGGUACCCGCAAGAGCCAGCUUGCUCGCAUACAGACGGACAGUGUGGUGACAACAUUGAAAGCCUCAUACCCUGGCCUGCAGUUUGAAAUCAUUGCUAUGUCCACCACAGGGGACAAGAUUCUUGAUACUGCACUCUCUAAGAUUGGAGAGAAAAGCCUGUUUACCAAGGAGCUUGAACAUGCCCUGGAGAAGAAUGAAGUGGACCUGGUUGUUCACUCCUUGAAGGACCUGCCCACUGUGCUUCCUCCUGGCUUCACCAUCGGAGCCAUCUGCAAGUAAGAGUCUUGCAAGUAAGGGGCUUGGGCAGGGGUAGGCAUCAUGUGAACCUUUGCCUUUCCCUUUGGGACCUGACCCUCUGCUUCAGGGUUAUCUCCUCUGCCCUGAGGAGUGUUGACUGGUGGCAGAAAACUCAAGAAAUACCAGUGAGUUGGCAAUCGAGAGAGAAUAGAGGUGAUCUGAACUUAAAUCUCUUCCCUCAUUCUGUGCCCUUCCCUCCUCCCCCAGGCGGGAAAACCCUCAUGAUGCUGUUGUCUUUCACCCAAAAUUUGUUGGGAAGACCCUAGAAACCCUGCCAGAGAAGAGUGUGGUGGGAACCAGCUCCCUGCGAAGAGCAGCCCAGCUGCAGAGAAAGUUCCCGCAUCUGGAGUUCAGGAGUAUUCGGGGAAACCUCAACACCCGGCUUCGGAAGCUGGACGAGCAGCAGGAGUUCAGUGCCAUCAUCCUGGCAACAGCUGGCCUACAGCGCAUGGGCUGGCACAACCGGGUGGGGCAGAUCCUGCACCCUGAGGAAUGCAUGUAUGCUGUGGGCCAGGUACACUUGACCAGGGAAGCCACAUGGUGACAUAUGCCUUCCCUUUGUUCUCAACCAAGAAGCUUGUCUCACAACCUUCUGCAUCUGCUUCCCCAGAAUAGCAUUCUCAGGGAGGGGCAGGCCUUGGGAUGCUACCGGUCCAAAAGGCGCUGGGGAGCAAGUAGAUAGAGGUGGUCCCAUGCUUUGCGCCAUUGGUUGGGGAAAGAUCAGGCCUGAUGUCCUAGGAUGUUUUUCCAUCAGGGAGCCUUGGGCGUGGAAGUCCGAGCCAAGGACCAGGACAUCUUGGAUCUGGUGGGUGUGCUGCACGAUCCUGAGACUCUGCUUCGCUGCAUCGCUGAAAGGGCCUUCCUGAGGCACCUGGUAGGGCCUGUGCUCCACCUGUGGAGGGCUGGGGACUUGGAGAGCUGGGAAAGGCGGUAGGGAAGAUUUCUCACAUGAAUGCUCUGUAUACAGUGCUAACUCAUUCUUGUUGAAUGUUGUGUAUGGAUAGGACCAGGUCUGGGCCCACAGUUGCCUUUUCAGUGAUGUCCUCAGGUCUGUGGUCACAGGGUGGUGUUAAGAGCCCUUGCAGCUCACAAGAACUUCUUGUUACAGGAAGGAGGCUGCAGUGUGCCAGUAGCCGUGCAUACAGCUAUGAAGGAUGGGCAACUGUACCUGACUGGAGGAGUCUGGAGUCUAGACGGCUCAGAUAGCAUACAAGAGACCAUGCAGGCUACCAUCCAUGUCCCUGCCCAGCAUGAAGAUGGCCCUGAGGAUGACCCACAGUUGGUAGGCAUCACUGCUCGUAACAUUCCACGAGGGCCCCAGUUGGCUGCCCAGAACUUGGGCAUCAGCCUGGCCAACUUGUUGCUGAGCAAAGGAGCCAAAAACAUCCUGGAUGUUGCACGGCAGCUUAACGAUGCCCAUUAACUGGUUUGUGGGGCACAGAUGCCUGGGUUGCUGCUGUCCAGUGCCUACAUCCCGGGCCUCAGUGCCCCAUUCUCACUGCUAUCUGGGGACUGAUUACCCCAGGAGACUGAACUGCAGGGUUCAAGCCUUCCAGGGAUUUGCCUCACCUUGGGGCCUUGAUGACUGCCUUGCCUCCUCAGUAUGUGGGGGCUUCAUCUCUUUAGAGAAGUCCAAGCAACAGCCUUUGAAUGUAACCAACCCUACUAAUAAACCAGUUCUGAAGGU
rnacentral:sRNA from 1 species